rnacentral:rRNA from 1 species
CAGGGCUUCCCGUCCGCUCAGCCGUACUUAAGCCACACGCCGGCUGGUUAGUAGUUGGGUGGGUGACC